CAGUAGCCGCGGGAAUACGAAGGGUGCAAGCGUUACUCGGAAUUACUGGGCGUAAAGCGUGCGUAGGUGGUGGUUUAAGUCCGUUGUGAAAGCCCUGGGCUCAACCUGGGAAUUGCAGUGGAUACUGGGUCACUAGAGUGUGGUAGAGGAUAGUGGAAUUUCCGGUGUAGCAGUGAAAUGCGUAGAGAUCGGAAGGAACAUCUGUGGCGAAGGCGACUAUCUGGGCCAACACUGACACUGAGGCACGAAAGCGUGGGGAGCAACAGGAUUAGAUACCCCUGUAGUCCCUGUCUCUUAUACA
rnacentral:rRNA from 1 species